rnacentral:rRNA from 1 species
UACGGAGGGUGCGAGCGUUGUCCGGAAUCACUGGGCGUAAAGGGCGCGUAGGCGGCCUGAUAAGUAGGGGGUGAAAUCCUGCGGCUUAACCGCAGGGCUGCCUUCUAAACUGUCAGGCUUGAGCACAGUAGAGGCAGGUGGAAUUCCCGGUGUAGCGGUGGAAUGCGUAGAGAAUCGGGAAGAACAUCAGUGGCGAAGGCGGCCUGCUGGGCUGUUGCUGACGCUGAGGCGCGAGCAGCGGUGGGGAGCAAACAGG